GGGGACCUUCGGGCCUCUUGCCAUCAGAUGUGCCCAGAUGGGAUUAGCUUGUUGGUGAGGUAACGGCUCACCAAGGCGACGAUCCCUAGCUGGUCUGAGAGGAUGACCAGCCACACUGGAACUGAGACACGGUCCAGACUCCUACGGGAGGCAGCAGUGGGGAAUAUUGCACAAUGGGCGCAAGCCUGAUGCAGCCAUGCCGCGUGUAUGAAGAAGGCCUUCGGGUUGUAAAGUACUUUCAGCGGGGAGGAAGGUGUUGUGGUUAAUAACCGCAGCAAUUGACGUUACCCGCAGAAGAAGCACCGGCUAACUCCGUGCCAGCAGCCGCGGUAAUACGGAGGGUGCAAGCGUUAAUCGGAAUUACUGGGCGUAAAGCGCACGCAGGCGGUCUGU
rnacentral:rRNA from 1 species